rnacentral:rRNA from 1 species
CAAUAGUGUAUAUUAGUGUUGUUGCAGUUGAAGCGCUCGUAGUUGGAUUUUGGAAUAGUUCGACUGGUUGUCCGUCAAGGUACGUACUUGUUGAAUUGUUCUUUUUCUGAAGAACUGUCAUGCACUUUAUUUUGUGUGUCAGGGAUCCAGAACUUUUUUACUUUGAAAAAAUUAGAGUGUUCAAAGCAGGCCUAGCUUGAAUACAUUAGCAUGGAAUAAUAAAAUAGGACUUGCAGUUCUAUUUUGUUGGUUUCUAGAACUGAAGUAAUGAUUAAUAGGGAUAGUUGGGGGCAUUAGUAUUUAAUUGUCAGAGGUGAAAUUCUUGGAUUUAUGAAAGACUAACUUCUGCGAAAGCAUUUGCCAAGGAUGUUUUCAUUAAUCAAGAACGAAAGUCGGGGGAUCGAAGACGAUCAGAUACCA